AUUGAACGCUGGCGGCAGGCCUAACACAUGCAAGUCGAACGGUAACAGGAAGAAGCUUGCUUCUUUGCUGACGAGUGGCGGACGGGUGAGUAAUGUCUGGGAAACUUCCUGAUGGAGGGGGAUAACUACUGGAAACGGUAGCUAAUACCGCAUAACGUCGCAAGACCAAAGAGGGGGACCUUCGGGCCUCUUGCAAUCGGAUGUGCCCAGAUGGGAUUAGCUAGUAGGUGGGGUAACGGCUCACCUAGGCGACGAUCCCUAGCUGGUCUGAGAGGAUGACCAGCCACACUGGAACUGAGACACGGUCCAGACUCCUACGGGAGGCAGCAGUGGGGAAUAUUGGACAAUGGGCGCAAGCCUGAUGCAGCCAUGCCGCGUGUAUGAAGAAGGCCUUCGGGUUGUAAAGUACUUUCAGCGGGGAGGAAGGGAGUAAAGUUAAUACCUUUGCUCAUUGACGUUACCCGCAGAAGAAGCACCGGCUAACUCCGUG
rnacentral:rRNA from 1 species